GUCUAUGGCCAUGCCACUCUGAACAAGCCCAAUCCCAUCUGAUCUUGGAAGCUAAGCAGGGUCAGGCCUGGUAAGUACUUGGAUGGGAGACCACCUAGGAAGACCAGGUGCUGUAGGCA
rnacentral:rRNA from 1 species